GAACUUACCUGGCAGGGGAAACACCAUGAUCAUGAAGGUGGUUUUCCCAGGGCGAGGCUUAUCCAUUGCAGUCCGGAUGUGCUGACCCCUGCGAUUUCCCCAAAUGUGGGAAACUCGACUGCGUUACUCGUGGUAGUGGGGGACUGCACUGGGAGGAUCCCUU
rnacentral:snRNA from 1 species